GCAAGUCGAGCGGUAGCAUUUCUAGCUUGCUAGAAGAUGACGAGCGGCGGACGGGUGAGUAACGCGUAGGAACUUACCCAGUAGUUGGGGAUAGCCCGGAGAAAUCCGGAUUAAUACCGAAUAAUCUCUAAGGAGGAAAGGGGGCUUCGGCUCUCGCUACUGGAUGGGCCUGCGUAAGAUUAGCUAGUUGGUGAGGUAAAGGCUCACCAAGGCGACGAUCCGUAGCUGGUCUGAGAGGACGAUC
rnacentral:rRNA from 1 species